UACAGAGGUCCCAAGCGUUGUUCGGAUUCACUGGGCGUAAAGGGUGCGUAGGUGGCGGGGUAAGUCGGAUGUGAAAGCUCGGAGCUCAACUCCGAAAUGGCAUUGGAAACUACCUUGCUCGAGGGUUGGAGGGGGACUGGAAUGCUUGGUGUAGCAGUGAAAUGCGCAGAUAUCAGGAAGAACACCCGUGGCGAAAGCGGCUCUCUGGGCCGGAACUGACGCUGAGGAGCGAAAGCGUGGGUAGCAAACAGG
rnacentral:rRNA from 1 species